rnacentral:rRNA from 1 species
UACGUAGGGUGCAAGCGUUGUCCGGAAUUAUUGGGCGUAAAGAGCUCGUAGGCGGUCUGUCGCGUCGGAUGUGAAAAAUCCAGGGCUCAACCCUGGACCUGCAUUCGAUACGGGCAGACUAGAGUUCGGCAGGGGGAGACUGGAAUUCCUGGUGUAGCGGUGAAAUGCGCAGAUAUCAGGAGGAACACCGGUGGCGAAGGCGGGGUCUCUGGGCCGAUACUGACGUGAGGAGCGAAAAGCAUGGGGGAGCG